UAAAAAUCAAACUUCAAUAAUACACGGAAAGAAUAAGAUGACACUGAAUAUCAUCUCAGAUUAUACUCAGUGAUAUCUGUGGUGAAAAAAAUUUAAGAUUGUAGCUAAAAAAAUCCAGAUUAUACUGCGUGAUAUCUGGAUUAUACUCAUUGUAACCUUUCAUUUA